rnacentral:rRNA from 1 species
CACUUCGGGGGAGAGUAGUAGUGGCGCACGGUGUCAUUAACCCGUUAGGUAACCAUGCCCUUUUGUGGGGGAUAACCAUGGAGAAAUUCUGGCUAAUACCGCAUACGUUAGUACGACAUGGGAAAAGUACUAGAAAGGAUGCCUCUACUUGUAAGCAUUCACAGAAGGAUGGGCCUGCGUUGCAUUAGCUUGUUGGAGGGGGAAUGGCCUACCAAGGCAACGAUGCAUAGCUGGUCUGAGAGGAUGAUCAGUCACACUGGAACUGAGACACGGUCCAGACUCCUACGGGAGGCAGCAGUGGGGCAUAUUGCGCAAUGGGGGAAACCCUGACGCAGCAAUGCCGCGUGAGUGAGGAAGGCCUUCGGGUUGUAAAGCUCUGUCAGAUAGGAAGAAUGGUUAUGGGUCUAAUAGGCCUAUAAUUUGACGGUACUAUCAAAGGAAGCACCGGCUAACUUCGUGCCAGCAGCCGCGGUAAUACGAAGGGUGCAAGCGUUGUUCGGAUUUACUGGGCGUAAAGCGCGCGCAGGCGGAUUAUUAAGCCAGAUGUGAAAUCCCGGGGCUCAACCCCGGAACUGCGUCUGGAACUGGUAAUCUAGAGUUAUAGAGGGGAGAGCGGAAUUUCGCAUGUAGGGGUAAAAUCCGUAGAGAUGCGAAGGAACACCAGCGCCGAAGGGGGCUCUCUGGCUAUUAACUGACGCUGAGGCGCGAAAGCGUGGGUAGCAAACAGGAUUAGAUACCCUGGUAGUCCACGCCGUAAACGAUGAGUACUAGAUAUUGGAGCCUUUGACCGCUUCAGUGUCGCAGCUAACGCAUUAAGUACUCCGCCUGGGAAGUACGGUCGCAAGACUAAAACUCAAAGGAAUUGACGGGGGCCCGCACAAGCGGUGGAUUAUGUGGUUUAAUUCGAAGCAACGCGCAGAACCUUACCUAGGCUUGAAAUCCUGAGAAGAUCGACCAAAAUUGAUUGUGCUCUUCGGAGAACUCAGUGACAGGCGCUGCAUGGCUGUCGUCAGCUCGUGUCGUGAGAUGUUGGGUUAAGUCUCGCAACGAGCGCAACCCCUAUCCUUAGUUGCCAGCAUUAAGUUGGGCACUUUAGGGAGACUGCCUGGGUUAACCAGGAGGAAGGUGGGGAUGACGUCAAGUCCUCAUGGCCCUUAUGUCUAGGGCUACACACGUAAUCCAAUUGUGCAUACAAAGAGACGCGAUCAGGUGACUGUCAGCAAAUCUCAAAAAGUGCAUCUCAGUCCGGAUUGGAGUCUGCAACUCGACUCCAUGAAGUUGGAAUCGCUAGUAAUUGCAGAUCACGCACGUCUGCGGUGAAUAUCGUUCCCGGGCCUUGUUCAGCAGCCGCCCGUCUCUCCACUGGGACGUUGAUCUUACACUGAAAGCCGUAGAGUUGAUUCCUGACUCGGAACG